rnacentral:lncRNA from 1 species
AAUUAUCUAAUAUCUAAAAGGGUUAAUACCGUGAAAAACCAUGAACUUUGGUGCGAUUUCCAAACUUUCCAUGAACUAUUUUUUUUAUCAAAAUUUGCAUGAAUUUAAACGCCUGAACAAUUUUUCCACGGUUUUUACCUCCGGUGAAGGUCCGGUCUUAGUUGGCGCCUACGUGGCAAUACCGAGCUGACAUGACGCCUACGUGGUAAUACUGAGUUGACGUGGCCUCCUACUUGGAAAAAAAAAACAAAAAAUAGAAAAUCGAUUAUUUUUCCUCCCCUUCCUCCAGGUCGGCCGGUGGACCGCUGCCUUCCUUCGGCGAAGCAGCGCCGACGACCACCACCUCUGCCUUCCUCCUUCGCGACGGUCACCUCGCUCGAUCUCAGACACGAAGAGCUAUGUUGUUCCAGACCUCGCGCCGCUGCUGUGCUCGCGCCGCCUCCGAAGAGCUAUGUCGUCUUCGUUUCCGAUCGUCCACAAGAAAUCCCCAAAAUCCUCCUCCCCAAACCUGCACCGCCACCCUCUUCAAAUCAGCGAUUCCGCCGCAUUGAACCCCCUCUACCGCCAUCUCUCUCUCCACCGCCCUCCACCA